AACCGAAAAUAUUCACUCCUAUCUCUUUCCUAUCUGGUCAAAGUCAAGAAAGCUACGUAUCACCCAAUAAAAUUCAUGUGUUUCCAGGCGCACAAUAUUCCUAUGGAUCAUCAACCCCCCCCACCAUCCCACCCCGCAUGGCUUCAAGUCGUGGGAGUAUAAGCUUGACAACAACAUCAACAUCCAUUUCUUCAAAAACCCAAUUUGUUAUUGCUCCGAAAACCAAUCCUUUUGUCUUAGAUUCUUGUUGUGCUGCACAAAAGAAGCUCCUUUUCUGUUCGAGCUAUGGGUUUUUCUUCUUCACAGAAACCUGACAACAUUCAAGGAGCCCCAUUUUCAGCUGCAGACAGAUGAGAUCCAGUAUCCUCAUAGGACUUGAGACCUUCUCAAAGAAUGGCGAUUGGAAGGUGGAACAGUGGACUAAUAGAUAUCAUCAUCGUUCAUUUAUGGUGGAGCUGAGAACUGUGGAAUCUGCAGAUGAUUAGUGGCUUCAGCACCAUAAGCAAAAAUCAGAAUAAUCAUCUGCCUAUAUCAUUUUAAUAUGUAACUGUGUUGUGAUAUCAAGAAAUACAACAAAAUGAAUUCAAAUCA